rnacentral:rRNA from 1 species
UUUUAUUAAAAUAUUUUGUUGUUGUUGUAUAUUUUAUAGAUUUGAUUAUUUUAUUUUAUAGUCUAUUUUGUACUGUAGGGGUACUUUGUUUUAUUUUGUGGAAGUUUACUUUUUUUGUUGUACCUUGUGUAUCAGGGUUUAUUUAAUUUUAUUAUGGAUAAUGUAUUUCCCGAUUUUGGAUGAUUUAAUAAUUUAUUUUAGUUACUGUUUCAUAAGUAUUAAUAAUAUUUUGUUGGUAGUGAGAUGUUUUCGUUUUCAAUGGUUUCUGGUUUUCUAAGAAAUGAAUUUAAUUCAUGCACUUUGUUUAAUGUUUCUUUUUUUUAGGUUAUUUUUAUUUUGUGUUAAAAUUUUGGGGGAUUAGCUCUAAUUUUUAUUUUUUAAAAUUGCUUUGUGUUUAUUAUUUUUGUGGGUUUUAUGUUAAUUAUCAGUUUGAGUAUGUUGAAAUUUUAUUUUUGGUUUAUUUUAUUUUUAUUUUGUUUAAGUUUUAUAUUAGAAUUUUAUUUUUAAUUUUUUAUUAUUUGUAAUUAUGAUGGAAUUAGUAUAUUUAUUGUUUAUAUUAUUUUUUGGUUGAUAAUUUUUCUUUAGGAAUUAGGCAAAGCUUUUGUGUUCGCCUGUUUAUCAAAAACAACUCCUCUUGUUUUUUAUUUGAGGUAGGACCUGCCCACUGAAUUAAUUUUUAAAGGGCCGCGGUAUUUUGACCGUGCAAAGGUAGCAUAAUCAUUAGUCUUUUAAUUGUGGGCUGGAAUGAAUGGUUUGACGAGAUACAAUCUGUCUUGGGUUUAUUAUUAUUGAAUUUAGGUUUUAGGUAAAAAUACCUAGAUGUUUUUGUGGGACGAGAAGACCCUAUAGAGUUUUAUAUUGACUCUUUUCUAUUUGUUUGUUUUAAAAUUUUGAAUUUGUGGUUUUAUUUUGUUGGGGUGACAUGAGGAUUUAUUUAACUCUUCUUUUGUUUUUGUAAUAUAGAUUAAUAGUUUAUUGAUCCUUUAUUAUUGAUUUUAAGAUUAAAUUACCUUAGGGAUAACAGCGUAAUCUUUCUUGAAAGUUCUUAUUGACAGGGUGGUUUGCGACCUCGAUGUUGGAUUAAGGUGAAUUUUUGGUGUAGAAGCUUGAAUUGAUUGGGUCUGUUCGACCCUUAAAACCUUACAUGAUCUGAGUUCAAACCGGCGUGAGCCAGGUUGGUUUCUAUCUACAAUGAUUUAAUGACUUAGUACGAAAGGACCAGUUGUUAGGAAUAAUUUU